rnacentral:rRNA from 1 species
UACGUAGGGUGCGAGCGUUGCCCGGAUUUAUUGGGCGUAAAGGGCGCGUAGGCGGCCACGCACGUCCGUUGUGAAAUCGCCCGGCUCAACUGGGCGGGGUCAGCGGAUACGGUGUGGCUCGAGCAAGCUAGGGGGCAAUGGAAUUCCCGGUGUAGUGGUGGAAUGCGUAGAUAUCGGGAGGAACACCAGUGGCGAAGGCGGUUGCCUGGAGCUUUGCUGACGCUGAGGCGCGGAAGGCUA